rnacentral:rRNA from 1 species
UGGGGAAUUUUGGACAAUGGGGGAAACCCUGAUCCAGCCAUCCCGCGUGUGCGAUGAAGGCCUUCGGGUUGUAAAGCACUUUUGGCAGGAAAGAAACGUCGCGGGUUAAUACCCCGCGAAACUGACGGUACCUGCAGAAUAAGCACCGGCUAACUACGUGCCAGCAGCCGCGGUAAUACGUAGGGUGCAAGCGUUAAUCGGAAUUACUGGGCGUAAAGCGUGCGCAGGCGGUUCGGAAAGAAAGAUGUGAAAUCCCAGAGCUUAACUUUGGAACUGCAUUUUUAACUACCGGGCUAGAGUGUGUCAGAGGGAGGUGGAAUUCCGCGUGUAGCAGUGAAAUGCGUAGAUAUGCGGAGGAACACCGAUGGCGAAGGCAGCCUCCUGGGAUAACACUGACGCUCAGUGCA